CACACACACACACACAAUUUCAUUUUUGUUUGGUUUGUUUCAUCUUGGUCCUAAGUUUACUUUGUUGUGGAUCUCUUUCAGAUGGGGGGCAGAUCAAAUGUUCAAAACGAGGUUCUUUGUCACUUUGUCUUCCCAGAAAGACCUGGUGCUCUGAUGAAGUUCUUGGACGCUUUCAGUCCACGUUGGAAUAUUAGUUUGUUCCACUACCGUGGACAGGGUGAAACUGGGGCAAAUGUGUUGGUUGGAAUCCAAGUUGCCCGGGGCGAUAUUGAUGAAUUUCAAGCUCGUGCGAGUUCUCUUGGAUAUGACUAUGCAGUGGUGACCGACAACGACGAGUUCAAUCUUUUAAUGCAUUGAGACUUUCACAUUGCUAUGAAGGGGAAGCUUGUGCCUCCAGAUCACGUUUUAAUGAGCAGAGAAGGGAGACACUGUCUUAAAUGUUUGAUAGUUUAUUAUUGUAUCUUACAAGCUUAAGAGAAGUAUGUAUUGAGGGGGAAAGUACGAUAUUUUAAUUGUCUGUAUUUUAAGAUCAUUGUUCGUGGAUGUCAACCCAGGUCUUGUUUUGUCCAAUCGAGUGGGUAUUGGUGUCCCCUUAAGGUCUACUAUUUUGUUUUGAAUUAGAAAAGCGGUGUUCAUGACUCAUUAGCGAGUAGAGAAAAAGAGUAUUGAAGGCAAUAAAAGCUCCUUAAUAUUUAUCUUUUGA